rnacentral:rRNA from 1 species
UUAGACGGCCAUAGUGGAUUGGUACACCCGUUCCCAUUUCGAACACGGAAGUUAAGAAGUCCUACGUCGUGGUUAGUACUGUACUUAUGUACGGGAGCAUCAUGAAGCCGUUUCUU